GAUGAACGCUGGCGGCGUGCCUAAUACAUGCAAGUCGAGCGAACAGACGAGGAGCUUGCUCCUCUGACGUUAGCGGCGGACGGGUGAGUAACACGUGGAUAACCUACCUAUAAGACUGGGAUAACUUCGGGAAACCGGAGCUAAAACCGGAUAAUAUAUUGAGCCGCAUGGUUCAAUAGUGAAAGACGGUUUUGCUGUCACUUAUAGAUGGAUCCGCGCCGCAUUAGCUAGUUGGUAAGGUAACGGCUUACCAAGGCGACGAUGCGUAGCCGACCUGAGAGGGUGAUCGGCCACACUGGAACUGAGACACGGUCCAGACUCCUACGGGAGGCAGCAGUAGGGAAUCUUCCGCAAUGGGCGAAAGCCUGACGGAGCAACGCCGCGUGAGUGAUGAAGGUCUUCGGAUCGUAAAACUCUGUUAUUAGGGAAGAACAAAUGUGUAAGUAACUAUGCACGUCUUGACGGUACCUAAUCAAAAAGCCACGGCUAACUACGUG
rnacentral:rRNA from 1 species